ACGACCUGGACCGGUUCAAACAAGCCUAGACCUGUUCCAAGCAAUCUGAGCCAGUUCCAACCAGUCUGGGCCAGUUCAAACUGGUCUGGGCGAGUUGGAACCCACAUGGACUUUUCCCAAUUGGUUUCAGCUGGUUCCAACUGGCUUGGACUGGUUCCAACUGAUCUGAACUGGUUCCAACAGAAUUGAUGGUAACAGGGUGCCAGGGCACUGAAUGUGGACCUUUCAGUACCGCAUUUCCAAAUCAGGUGACUGCAUUUUGAUCGGGAACAAAGGGAAGCUAAUCUCUGAGAAUCUGGUGAGAAGCACUUCACAAGGGACAUAGCGAUGCGGGGGGAGUGUUCAACAGCUUGUAAUUCAAGCACUCCACCAGGCUGUAUGAUAGCAAAUUUCAAAAGGGCUUUCUCAGGGGACUAUGGUGUCAAACUGACCCCAGAGACUUUGAGAACGCAUUGUGAGCUGAAUUGGCCAAGCCAGGUUGCGUGACGAGUUCCCACCUCCCACCUAUCAGACUAUCUGGCUUCAGCCUGCUUGCUUGAAAAUCCGGAAGGGUUAACACCAGCAGGGGGAGCCCUGCUGAUGCACAUCAACUAGGCACUCCCUCAGGGUCACUGCUCGGGGGCGUGCCUUGGGCCGUGGCCUCCAUAGGCUUCAGACGGGGCCAUGCCCGCCAGAAUCCUUUAUCGGACUACCCUUCAAUAUCCGGGGGAGGUGAUGGCGCUCCUCCCCCCCCCAUACAUCUACAUAACAAUACCCAUACCAAUGCCUAACCGCCACUCGAGCAAAGCUCACCGCCAAUACCCUCAGACCUGCAACCAAUCCCUAAUCCCCGCAGAUCUGUCAGCCAACCAAACAUCGUUUCCCGCAGUGGAAGGAUGCACGCCAUCCUCGUGGUAGAGGGUCACCUUGCUGAACUGGAUGUUGGGGUGGUCAAUGUCCCCCCCCCCAGCGCUGCCACUCUUCGAGCCACUGAGCGUUCCAGAAUCUUUCUGGAUUUGUUCAUACCAAUAGAGCAUCGGCAGUCCCUCCAAGUGCACCUUUCCAACAGUGAUGACCAAAUUGUGACUUAAUUUGGGAAAGAAAUCCUCAGAUCAUCAAAAUCAUCGAAAAUGUUCCACAUUAAGUCCACGCCCUUCCGGUAGGCCAAAUCUAACCAGCUUGCGCAAGUUUCAAAUGACAUCCACCUGUUCCAACCGGCCUGGACCUGCUUGAAGCUGUCUGGAACUGUUCAAACUGGCUUGGGCCUGUUCAAACCAGCCUAGACCUCAGACUGGUUGAAACAGGUCUGGGCUGGUUUGAACCGGUCCAAGUCGGUUGAAACAGGUCCAAGCCAGUUAAAACCGGUCUUGGCCCGUUUGAACCUGUCUAAGCCAGUUUGUGCCAGUCCAAGCCGGUUUGAACCGGUCUUGGCUGGUUUGUACCGGUCUAGGCCCAUUUGAACAGGUCUAGGCCAGUUUGAAAUGGCCCAAGCCAGUUUGAGCAGUUCCAAGUGGGUUGGAACUGGCCCAGAUAGGUUGGAGCAGGUCCAGGCCAGUUGGAGCAGGUGCAGGUCAUUUGAAACUGGCCCAGCUGGUUAGAACAGGUCCAGGCCGGUUGGUACAGGACUAUUUCGCUUGGGACCAGUGCAGCCCAGUUGGAACCAGUUCAUACCAGUUGGGUCUGGUCCAUGCCGGUUGGAACCAGCCCAAAGCAGUUGGGAAAGGCCCAGGUGGUUUUCAAUUUGCACAGACCAGUUGGAACUGGCCCAGACUGGUUGGAACAGGUCUAGGGUGGUUUGAACCAGUCCAAUUCGGUUGAAACAGGUCCAAGCUGGUUGGAACCUGUCUAGGCCGGUUUUAACAGGUCUAGAUAGGUUUGUGCCGGUCCAAACCGGUUUCAAUCGGUCAAGGCAGGUUUGAACCGGUCUUGGUCGGAUUGAACAGUUCUAAGUGGGUUGGAACUGGCCCAGACAGUUUGGAGCAGGUCCAGGACAGUUGGAGCUGGUCCAGGUCAUUUGAAACUGGACCAAGCUGGUUACAACAGGUCCAGGCUGGUUGGAACAGGUCUAUGUCGCUUGGAACCAGCCCAGACCUGUUGCAAUCAUUUCAUACCAGUUGGAUCCAGCCCAAGCCAGUUGGAACCAGCCCAAAGCAUUUGGAAAAGGUCCAGGCGGGUUCCAACUUGCCCAGACCAAUUUGAACUGGCCCAGACAGGUUGGAACUAGCUCAGACUGUUUGGAAGAGGUCUAGACUGGUUUGAACCAGUCCAAGCUGAUUAGUGCCGGUUGAAGCCGGUUUGAACUGCUCUAUGCUGGUUUGAACCGGUCAAAUUCAGUUUCAAAUGACCUGCACCUGCUCCAACUGGCCUGAACCUACUCCAACCUGUCUGGGCCAGUUUCAACCCACUUAGAACUGCUCAAACUGGCUUGGGGCAUUUCAAACUUGCCUAGACCUAUUCAAACCAGCCAAGACCGGUUCAAACUGGCUUGUACCGGCAUAAACCGGCUUAGAACGGUUCAAAGUGGCCUAAACCGAUUCCAACCGACUUGGACCUGUUUCAACCGACUUGGACCUGGACCUGGACCGGUUCAAACCAGCCUAGACCUGUUCCAAGCAGUCUGAGCCAGUUCCAACGAGUCUGGGGUAUUUCAAACUGGUGUGGGCAAGUUGGAACCUGCCUGGACUUUUCCCAAUUGGUUUCAGCUGGUUCAAACCGGCUUGGACCGAUUCCAACCAGUCUGAACCGGUUCCAACCGGCUUGGACCUGUUCCACCCGUUCAAACCAGUCUUGGGAACUUGGAAUCCACCUGGACUUUUUCAAACUGCUUUGGGCUGGUUCCUACUGGCUUGGACCGGAACCAACCAGUAUGAACGGGUCCCAGUGUUACGAUAUGAUACGUUUUCGGUGGAAAACGCAUUUGUUUUGGACACGGGAGCGACCCAGCACAUGGCAUCCCGCCGGGAAUUGUUUUCUACGUUUGAGAAGCAACGCUUCACUGUGAAACAGGCCAAUGGCCAGGAGAUGGAAGCGACAGGGAUCGGGACUGUAUAUUUGGAAAGCCUAAACUUGACUAUAAACAAUGUGUAUUUUGUUCCUGAUUUAAAGUUCAAUCUGUUGAGUGUAUCUCAGAUGACAAAGAAAGGACUGGUGUUGUCCUAUGAUAAGCAGAGUUGCAAAAUCUUUAAAGAUGGAGAACUGUAUCUUUCUGCCAGAGAGAAAGACGGACUGUAUCUCUUAACUUUUGAUAAGAAUGAUUACAAAAGUUGUACUGCAUGUGAGUCUAAAAUGCUUUCUCUUGCAGGUAUAUCAGACGGAGCCAAGGAUAAAAAGGCACCUAAGAUUACCUGUGUUUUUCAGCGAGUGUAUGCUGAUGUAAUUGGUCCUCUAGCACCAUCUAGAGGCAAUUCAAAAUACUACCUUGUAUUUGUUGAUCACUAUUCUCAAUAUGUAUGGCUAUAUAGAAUCAUAGAGUUGGAAUAGACCACAAGGGCCAUCGAGUCCAACCCCCUGCCAAGCAGGAAACACCAUCAGAGCACUCCUGACAUAUGGUUGUCAAGCCUCUGCUUAAAGACCUCCAAAGAAGGAGACUCCACCACACUCCUUGGCAGCAAAUUCCACUGUCGAACAGCUCUUACUGUCAGGAAGUUCUUCCUAAUGUUUAGGUGGAAUCUUCUUUCUUGUAGUUUGGAUCCAUUGCUCCGUGUCUGCUUCUCUGGAGCAGCAGAAAACAACCUUUCUCCCUCCUCUAUAUGACAUCCUUUUAUAUAUUUGAACAUGGCUAUCAUAUCACCCCUUAACCUCCUCUUCUCCAGGCUAAACAUGCCCAGCUCCCUUAGUCGUUCCUCAUAAGGCAUCGUUUCCAGACCUUUGACCAUUUUGGUUGCCCUCCUCUGGACACGUUCCAGUUUGUCAGUGUCCUUCUUGAACUGUGGUGCCCAGAACUGGACACAGUACUCCAGGUGAGGUCUGACCAGAGCAGAAUACAGUGGCACUAUUACUUCCCUUGAUCUAGAUGAUAUACUCCUAUUGAUGCAGCCCAGAAUUGCAUUGGCUUAUUUAGCUGCCACGUCACACUGUUGGCUCAUGUCAAGUUUGUGGUCAACCAAGACUCCUAGAUCCUUUUCACAUGUACUGCUCUCAAGCCAGGUGUCACCCAUCUUGUAUUUGUGCCUCUCAUUUUUUUUUGCCCAAGUGCAAUACUUUACAUUUCUCCCUGUUAAAGUUCAUCUUGUUUGUUUUGGCCCAGUUCUCUGAUCUGUCAAGGUCGUUUUGAAGUGUGAUUCUGUCCUCUGGGGUGUUAGCCACCCCUCCCAGUUUGGUGUCAUCUGCAAAUUUGAUCAGGAUGCCCUUGAGUCCAUCAUCCAAGUCGUUGAUAAAGAUGUUGAAUAAGACCAGGCCCAAGACAGAACCCUGUGGCACCCCACUAGUCACUCUUCUCCAGGAUGAAGAGGAACCAUUGAUGAGCACCCUUUGGGUUCAGUCAUAUAUAUUGGAAUCACCCAGAGAAACCUUAGCAAGGUUUAAGGAUUUUUGUGAUAAGGUUAAGAGGAUAAGGUUCAUGAUGCUAAUAUAGAUUAUCUUUUCACAGAUGAGAAGCCAAUUUUUCUUUCACAGGAUUUUCAGGAUUUCCUCAAAAGACAAGGGAUAGAGCAUAAGAUUGCUGUCUCAGAAGCUGCAUGGAACAAAAGUGUGUGUGUAAAGGUGAACAAAGAGUUGAAAAAUGGCAUGAAUGCACAAUUGCUGAGUUCACAUUUGCCACAUGAGUAUUGGGCUGAAUCUUUAUUGGCAUUUUGUUAUACUUGGGUGAGAAAGGUUUCAAAAGGUAUGGAACGUUCUCCUUUUGAGAGGCUAUUCCACAGGAAACCUUCUAUAAUGCAUUUUAAGGUUUUUGGAUCUCACAUCCGGACAGAAACUCCAGAUGGGAUAAAGAAUGCCAGAGGCAUUUUUGUGGGUUAUGAAAAGGGUCUCUACAGAGUAAUUUUGUCUGAAUCUGGUCAGGUGAUUCUCACAAAGUUUUUAGAGAGCACUCCGAGACAGGAGACAGAGGUUUUUCACACAUUUCCCACUGAUGACAAUUCAGAUGAUGAUUAUGAUGAUUCUGAUUAUUCUGGUACUGAGAGUGACACAGAAAGCUCAGGAAGUUCUGUUGACACAGUCAUUGAGAGAGGUUCACACAUAAUGGCUAGACCUUCACAGGUUAAGGUUGCACCACUGUUUACUGUUGGAACUGGUUCUCCAAAAGGUCCUGAAGAUGAACCAGUCAGCAGAGAGGAUCAGCACCUCAUUCGCAGGUCUGAGAGAAUCACAAAGGGCGUACCACCCAAGAGGUAUUCUCAAGAGUUUGCUAAUUCAGCUGUUGCAUGUGUUACUAUUGUUGACAACUCAAGCCUGGUAAAAAGUGUGUCUAAGUCAGAGACAAAGACACGACAGGGAGUUGCUAAGCGUAACACUACCUUCCCUAGCCAAGGUAAUGCAGAUGCACUCAUUCCUUGGAAAACAGACAACCAGAGAGUUACAUUGGUGAAACCAGUGGCGGGUAGUUCCAAGGGUGGAACUGAAACAACAGGGGAUUGUUACGUGUAUAACAAUUGUUUGUUUUCUUCUCUGGAUCAAGCUUUGUUCGCAGCUAACGUUGAUUCAUAUGGGGGAGGAUGUUACGAUAUGAGAGCAACGCAGCUGCAAACUUGCAGCUUGGUGAAAACAUCACAUGAUGUGGCUAGCUGUGGGAAAGAAUCUUCCCGGAAGUUCACAGGCUUCACAAAGAUUUGUGCAGUGUGUAAUAUGAGACCUUCCUGUUGCGUAUGUGAAGGAAGUCUUUGUCACUUGCUUGCUGAACACUGAACUCUUCGGAAAUGUUUUCUGUAGUGAUGCAAAGUCAGAAAUAAAGAGAUGUAAAUAGACUUUCUGACUAUCUCCUUUCCCUGCUAGGGAAGCAAGGAGGGAGGGGGUGUGCAUUUUCCAGGCUGGGAAAUGUCGCCUAUCAAGAUCUUCCUUGACUGCGGGGAUGCCAGCCAGGGCAGAUCACCGGUAAACAAGCUCCGGGAACCGACGAGGGGGGCCAGCCUCUCUCGAGGGGCCUUGUUUUCCAACACCCAGCAGGUUUGGGCUGCUUCCAAGUGACACAGAGCUGUUCCAACCGGCCUAGACCUCUUCAAACCGGCUCGGACCAGCAGAAACCAGCCUGGACCGGUUCAAACCGACCUAGACCAGUUGAAACCGGCUUGGACCGGAACCAACUGGCCUAGACUUGUUCAAACUGGCCUAGACCAGUUCCAACCGGUUUGGACCGGUUCAAACCAGCCUAGACCGGUACAAACCUGCCUUGACCGGUUCAAACUGGCUUGGACCGGCAGAAACCUGCCUAGACCGGUUCAUACUGGCCUAGACUGGUUCCAACCGGCUUGGACCUGUUCCAACUGACUUGGACCGGUUCAAACCAGCCUAGACCUGUUCCAAGCAAUCUGAGCCAGUUCCAACCAGUCUGGGCCAGUUCAAACUGGUCUGGGCGAGUUGGAACCCACAUGGACUUUUCCCAACUGGUUUCAGCUAGUUCCAACUGGCUUGGACUGGUUGCAACCGAUCUGAACUGGUUCCAACAGAAUUGAUGGUAACAGGGCGCCAGGGCACUGUAUGUGGACCUUUCAGUACCGCAUUUCCAAAUCAGGUGACUGCAUUUUGAUCGGGAACAAAGGGAAGCGAAUCUCUGAGAAUCUGGUGAGAAGCACUUCACAAGGGACAUAGCGAUGCGGGGGGAGUGUUCAAAGUACAUGUGAAAAGGAUCUAGGAGUCUUGGUUGACCACAAACUUGACAUGAGCCAACAGUGUGACGCGGCAGCUAAAAAAGCCAAUGCAAUUCUGGGCUGCAUCAAUAGGAGUAUAGCAUCUAGAUCAAGGGAAGUAAUAGUGCCACUGUAUUCUGCUCUGGUCAGACCUCACCUGGAGUACUGUGUCCAGUUCUGGGCACCACAGUUCAAGAAGGACACUGACAAACUGGAAUGUGUCCAGAGGAGGGCAACCAAAAUGGUCAAAGGUCUGGAAACGAUGCCUUAUGAGGAACGACUAAGGGAGCUGGGCAUGUUUAGCCUGGAGAAGAGGAGGUUAAGGGGUGAUAUGAUAGCCAUGUUCAAAUAUACAAAAGGAUGUCACAUAGAGGAGGGAGAAAGGUUGUUUUCUGCUGCUCCAGAGAAGCGGACACGGAGCAAUGGAUCCAAACUACAAGAAAGAAGAUUCCACCUAAACAUUAGGAAGAACUUCCUGACAGUAAGAGCUGUUCGACAGUGGAAUUUGCUGCCAAGGAGUGUGGUGGAGUCUCCUUCUUUGGAGGUCUUUAAGCAGAGGCUUGACAACCAUAUGUCAGGAGUGCUCUGAUGGUGUUUCCUGCUAGGCAGGGGGUUGGACUUGAUGGCCCUUGUGGUCUCUUCCAGCUCUAUGAUUCUAUGAUUCUAUGAUUCUAUGAUUCUAUGAUAACAGCUUGUAAUUCAAGCACUCCACCAGGCUGUAUGUUAGCAAAUUUCAAAAGGGCUUUCUCAGGGGACUGUGGUGUCAAACUGACCCCCAGAGACUUUGAGAAUGCAUUGUGAGCUGAAUUGGCCAAGCCAGGUUGCGUGGCGAGUUCCCGCCUCCCACCAGUAGGAAUAAAGACACAUAACACCGUUAUUUUAAGGUUAAUGGGCUAAAAUUGGCCACAACUUUAUUGGUUACAAGUGAUGAG